GGCCUAGUGGUGUAACGGAAACACCCCUGCUGUACAUACCGUGCAUUGAUAGCUUUUCACGGGAGUUCCUUGUUCGACUCAAGGCUAGGCCA